GACGAACCACACAAACGUUAUUCGGAAUUACUGGGAUUAAAGGGUGCGUAGGCGGCGCGGAAAGUAGGGUGUGAAAUCCCUCGGCUCAACCGAGGAAUUGCGCCCUAAACUACCGUGCUCGAGGGAGAUAGAGGUGAGCGGAACUUAGGGUGGAGCGGUGAAAUGCGUUGAUAUCCUAAGGAACACCGGUGGCGAAAGCGGCUCACUGGAUCUCUUCUGACGCUGAGGCACGAAAGCUAGGGUAGCGAACGGG
rnacentral:rRNA from 1 species